UACGUAGGGGGCUAGCGUUGUCCGGAAUCAUUGGGCGUAAAGCGCGUGUAGGCGGUCCGGUAAGUCCGCUGUGAAAGUCGGGGGCUCAACCCUCGAAUGCCGGUGGAUACUGUCGGGCUAGAGUACGGAAGAGGCGAGUGGAAUUCCUGGUGUAGCGGUGAAAUGCGCAGAUAUCGGGAGGAACACCUAUGGCGAAGGCAGCUCGCUGGGACGUUACUGACGCUGGAGACGCGAAAGCGUGGGGAGCAAACAGG
rnacentral:rRNA from 1 species